AUGUAUUCAAAUGAUCUCUCAUCUUCUAUGCUUAUUCUCCACGAUCGCUGCCAUAUUUAUCAACAUCCCGAACUGAAUAUGAAUGAAGUCAACUAUAUUCAUUUCUCUCCUAAACAGUCAUCCUUUGUCGUCCCUUUCUUAAUUACUGGUAUCAUUAUCCUAGCCAAUCUGUUUCAUUUCCCUUUCUCACAUUAAAGGGCCCCUGUGACUCUCACACUUUUGUGCUUCCUCUCAAAUGUUUUCUUCCAGUGUUGCUUUUAGGUGACCUUCUGAUUCCCCUUAGCUGAGCUGCUGUCUUACCCGAGAAGCCCUAGAAGCUUAUAUCCAAUGCCACAAGCCUCCCCCAGGCCAUGUGAAAGCCUGGCUUCUCUCUGCUGGUCCUAGUCUUAGGACUCCUUAUGGAGGGACUGAGCGGUGUUGGGUAAGGGUAAGAGGACAGGAGAGUGCAGUUCUUACACGGGCUUCUGGAGGCUGAUCAGUGGGUUCUGCCCUCUGCACUUUUAUAGCACUUUAUAAGUACAGCUUGUAUUUAUAUUAUAUGUAAAUACAACGUGGAGUGCCUUAAGGAACAAAGGCAGUCAGUGUAUUUCUCAUCCCCGAGACAGCCAGUAUAUUCUAAGUGGCAAACACUUUGAGCAGCAUGAGCACAAAGGUAAUGUAAUUGCUUAUUGUCCCUGCUCUCACCCAAGGGCUGAAACUGGCAUUAAAGAAAAACAAACAAACAACCUGAUUUCAUUGUUCUCCAUCAGCCCCUUGCCACUGUCCCUAGUUGUUGUGGCUCUUUCUCAAAAUUCCAGAAUGGCAGUACCUUCACUUGAGAACUCAAGAUUACCUUUCACUUUCCCAAUAUCAGAACUGAAAAAUAUUCAGAGAAUCAUGUAAUAGUCUUCAUGACCCUUAAGAGAUGAUGUAUUCCAGUCCUCAUAUUUCACUCUGGUUGAUCAGAGGGAAAAAACAACCUAUUCAAAGGCACACAGUUAACUAGGGGCAUAAGCGUGCAUAGAAAUAAUUAGUGGUAUAAAUAUAAGCAGAAAGCAGAUUGUUUUUUCUCAGUUCUAUGCUCUUUCUGCUCUAUAUCAAACUAUAUUUUUUGUAGUUUGAUUGUACAUCCUGUCCUUAAAGGGUAAAGUUUUAGUGACUCUCAAAUUGAAAAUGGUCUAUUGUCACAUCCAUAAAGAGGUAUUAAUGAUUGAUAAUAGCUUAAUGUGUUAUUAUCUUUUAAGAAUUUGCCAUUCAACCAGCACCUAAGCACAAUAUGGAAGAAUGAAUUUCUAAAGAUAGUGUGUAAAACACACUUAUAAUGAAAGAACUUUUGGGUAGCUGUGAUUGAAAUUCGAUCACAUUAGUCAACCACCUACUUGUCAUAGGAUUUAAUGCUAGGCUUAUUGUGGGUAUUGGCUGAUUGAUAUGAACUUCUGUCAUAAGAUUUACGCCAUCAGUGUUGGAAAGAACCAGAGAGCUCAUCUAGUCUAGACUCUUCUUUUCAUGACUGUAUUACCCAAGGUUACACAGCUGGUUAUUUUGCAGAACCAGAACUUUUACGCAUGCGGGUUGACUUUUUACACAGUUCUUGAAUUACUUGAAUCUAGGGAUAAAGUGAUUUGAAAACAAGGAUGUGUACCAAAAUCACCUGGAUCAUCUGAGAAACUUUUUCAAAAGAUGUAUACUUGUGUAUAUUUAUUCUUCACGUCUCUUUCUGGUUCUAUAGGCCUAAGAGAGAUAUCCAACAAUUAUACUUAAAGAUUGCAGUAUAAUUUAUAUAGACUAAAUACAUAAAUCUUAAGUGUAAAUGUCAUGAUUUUUUUAUGCACACACAUAAGCAUAUAUAACGAUAUACAUCCACACAUCUGUGUGACCUGUGUGCUAAAAUAAAAAUAAAUUAAGAUAUUCAGAUUCUGGAAAACUGUGUUAUCCUUUUCAGUCAGUAAACCCCUUCCUCCAAGGAUAAC
rnacentral:lncRNA from 1 species